GAUGAAGAACGCAGCGAAAUGCGAUACGUAAUGUGAAUUGCAGAAUUCAGUGAAUCAUCGAAUCUUUGAACGCAUAUUGCGCUCUUUGGUAUUCCGAAGAGCAUGCUUGUUUGAGUAUCAGUAAACACCUCAAAGCUUUUGGAUUUUUUAAUCGAAAAGCUUUGGACUUGAGCAAUCCCAACACCAAUCUUUUUGAGAUCGGUGGCGGGUUGCUUGAAAUGCAGGUGCAGCUGGACAUUCUCCUGAGCUAAAAGCAUAUUCAUUUAGUCCCGUCAAACGGAUUAUUACUUUUGCUGCAGCUAACAUAAAGGGAGUUUGACCGUAUUGGCUGACUGAUGCAGGAUUUCACAAGGGUCGGCAACGAUUCUUGUUAAACUCGAUCUCAAAUCAAGUAAGACUACCCGCUGAACUUAAGCAUAUCAAAAGCGGAGGA
rnacentral:misc_RNA from 1 species